rnacentral:rRNA from 1 species
AUUGAACGCUGGCGGCAUGCUUUACACAUGCAAGUCGAACGGUAACAGGCCGCAAGGUGCUGACGAGUGGCGAACGGGUGAGUAAUGCAUCGGAACGUGCCCAGUCGGGGGGGAUAACUACUCGAAAGAGUAGCUAAUACCGCAUACGAUCUAUGGAUGAAAGCGGGGGACCGUAAGGCCUCGCGCGAUUGGAGCGGCCGAUGUCAGAUUAGGUAGUUGGUGGGGUAAAGGCUCACCAAGCCAACGAUCUGUAGCUGGUCUGAGAGGACGACCAGCCACACUGGGACUGAGACACGGCCCAGACUCCUACGGGAGGCAGCAGUGGGGAAUUUUGGACAAUGGGCGCAAGCCUGAUCCAGCAAUGCCGCGUGCAGGAAGAAGGCCUUCGGGUUGUAAACUGCUUUUGUACGGAACGAAACGGCUCUGGUUAAUACCCGGGGCUAAUGACGGUACCGUAAGAAUAAGCACCGGCUAACUACGUG